rnacentral:rRNA from 1 species
CCUUCCAUGAAGCCGGAAUUGCUAGUAAUGGCAGGUCAGCAUACUGCCGUGAAUACGUUCCCGGGCCUUGUACACACCGCCCGUCACACCAUGAGAGUUGGGGAUACCCGAAGCCUGUGAGCUAACUUAACGGAGGCAGCAGUCGAAGGUAGAAUCAAUGAUUGGGGUGAAGUCGUAACAAGGUAGC